rnacentral:tRNA from 1 species
GCGGGCAUCGUUCAGUGGUAGGACUCCACUCUUCCAAAGUGGUAACACCAGUUCGAAUCUGGUUGCCCGCACCA